rnacentral:lncRNA from 1 species
ACAGAUUUUGUAUGUUCUGAUCAUGUUGCAUAACAGGUGUGUAAUGCAUUUUUGUGAAUAAAUGAAUAGUCAAUUAUAUUAUCUCCACAUGCACAAUGUAUUUAUUGACGUAUCACAGAGGCAUUAAAACAGCAAUGGCAUAUACAAAAGAAUAAACAUUAUGAAGAAGAAGUUCUCUAAGUAGUGCAUUUUAUCUGAGAUUGCCCACUUAAAUAAAAAUUUUCUCUCUAAUUAGUUUAGUGUCAUACUGACCCCUGUGCAUGUGUGUGUGUGUGUGUUUGCACGCUUAGAAGUUCCUUUUUGAAAUAUUUUAUAAAAGGCAAAAAAAGAAUCGUUGAGAAUGAUAGAGCCCACAUCCAUUUUGAGGGCUGCAUACCUAGAAGUUUAAAGAUAUUUCUACUACAGGCCCUGACAAAAUUCUCCAAUUUUCUUUCACUAAGUAAUUAAUGAUAGCCUCUGACCCCUGUGAUCAAUGAAAUAUUUUAUAUCUGGUUCAACCUAGAUCUUCUCCUCUGGGUUUCAUAUUUUUGUCCCACAUAGUUUGAUCUGCUGUUGGCAGUGUCUUUCUACUUUGCUGACUCUUUGUUGAUAUAAUUGUUUACUUUCUUUGUCAAUUGACUUUGAUGCUAAAAAAUUUUUCCCAAACAUCACCAACCUAUAGUAAUCAUUAAAAUCUAACUGAAGUGGAAACAACCCAAAUAUCUGUCAACAGAUGAAUGGAUAAACAAAAUGUGGCUUAUAUAUACAAUGGAAUAUUAUUCAGCCUUGAAACUGAAGGAAGGAAAUUCUGAUACAUGUCACAACAUGGAAGAGCCUUGAAAACAUGCUAUGUGACAUAAGCCAGACACAAAAGGACAAAUAUAUGACUCCGCUCAUAUGAAAAAUCUAGAAUAGGCAAAUUCAUAGAGGCGGAAAGUUGAAGGGAGUUUACCAGGAGCUGAGGGGAGGGGGAAAAGGGAUGUUUCUGUUUAAUGGGUACAGAGUUUCUGUUUGGGAUAAUUAAAAAUUUCUGAAAACAGAGAGUGGUGGUGGUUGUACAACACUGUGCAUGUACUUAAUGCUACUGAAUUGUUUGCUUAGAAACAGUUUAAAUGAUAAAUUUUAUGUUAUGUAUAUUUUACCACAAUCAACCCACACACAAA